rnacentral:rRNA from 1 species
GUGGGGAAUAUUGGACAAUGGGCGAAAGCCUGAUCCAGCCAUGCCGCGUGUGUGAAGAAGGUCUUCGGAUUGUAAAGCACUUUAAGUUGGGAGGAAGGGCAGUAAGUUAAUACCUUGCUGUUUUGAUGUUACCGACAGAAUAAGCACCGGCUAACUUCGUGCCAGCAGCCGCGGUAAUACGAAGGGUGCAAGCGUUAAUCGGAAUUACUGGGCGUAAAGCGCGCGUAGGUGGUUUUGUAAGUUGGAGGUGAAAUCCCCGGGCUCAACCUGGGAACUGCCUCCAAAACUGCAUGACUAGAGUACGGUAGAGGGUAGUGGAAUUUCCUGUGUAGCGGUGAAAUGCGUAGAUAUAGGAAGGAACACCAGUGGCGAAGGCGACUACCUGGACUGAUACUGACACUGAGGUGCGAAAGCGUGGGGAGCAAACAGGAUUAGAUACCCGGGUAGUCC